CCUACGGGAGGCAGCAGUGGGGAAUAUUGGGCAAUGGAGGAAACUCUGACCCAGCAACGCCGCGUGAAUGAUGAAGGUCUUCGGAUUGUAAAGUUCUUUUCUUAGGGAAGUAGAAAGUGACGGUACCUUAGGAAUAAGCCUCGGCUAACUACGUGCCAGCAGCCGCGGUAAUACGGAGGAGGCGAGCGUUAUCCGGAAUGACUGGGCGUAAAUGGUGCGUAGGUGGUUUGGCAAGUUAGUAGCGUAACUCCAAGGCUCAACCUUGGAACUACUACUAAAACUGUUGGACUUGAGUGCAGGAGGGGCAAGCGGAAUGCCUGGUGUAGCGGUGAAAUGCGUAGAGAUUAGGAAGAACACCAGUGGCGAAGGCAGGUUGCUAGACUGUAACUGACACUGAGGCACGAAAGCGUGGGGAGCAAACAGGAUUAGAUACCCCUGUAGUC
rnacentral:rRNA from 1 species